rnacentral:rRNA from 1 species
GAUGAACGCUGGCGGCGUGCUUAACACAUGCAAGUCGAACGAUGAAGCCCAGCUUGCUGGGUGGAUUAGUGGCGAACGGGUGAGUAACACGUGAGUAACCUGCCCUUGACUCUGGGAUAAGCCUGGGAAACUGGGUCUAAUACUGGAUAUGACUUCUCAUCGCAUGGUGGGGGGUGGAAAGAUUUAUUGGUUUUGGCUGGAUUCGCGGCUUAUCAGCUUGUUGGUGAGGUAAUGGCUCACCAAGGCGAAGACGGGUAGACGGCACGAGAGGGGGGCCGGCCACACGGGGACUGAGACACGGCGCAGACUCCUACGUGAGGCAGCAGGGGGGAAUAUUGCACAAUGGGCGCAAGCCUGAGGCAGCGACGCCGCGUGAGGGAUGACGGCCUUCGGGUUGUAAACCUCUUUCAGUGGGGAAGAAGCGAGAGUGACGGUACCUGCAGAAGAAGCGCCGGCUAACUACGCG